rnacentral:lncRNA from 1 species
AAGCACAAAGAAAUUAAUUGAUCUCUUGUCUUGCUAGGAAACAUUUCCUAAGGAAAUUCUUGGAUAUUCUUUGCCAGAUUGAUACCCUAGAACUAUUUUUCUAGUUACAAAUGCAAAGACUUUGAUCCACCUUCCCGGACAGGGAAGAGAUGAAAAGCUCCAAACAUUCGGUAAAACUUCAUUAAGUUCAUUAGGAAAAG